rnacentral:rRNA from 1 species
UACGGAGGGGGGCUAGCGUUGUUCGGAAUUACUGGGCGUAAAGCGCACGUAGGCGGCUUUGUAAGUUAGAGGUGAAAGCCCAGGGCUUAACCCUGGAAUUGCCUUUAAGACUGCAUCGCUAGAAUUGUGGAGAGGUAAGUGGAAUUCCGAGUGUAGAGGUGAAAAUUCGUAGAUAUUCGGAAGAAACACCAGUGGCGAAGGCGACUUACUGGACACGUAUUGACGCUGAGGUGCGAAAAGCGUGGGGAGCAAACAGG